rnacentral:rRNA from 1 species
CAGCAGCCACGGGAAUACAGAGGGUGCGAGCGUUAAUCGGAUUUACUGGGCGUAAAGCGUGCGUAGGCGUCUUUUUAAGUCGGAUGUGAAAUCCCUGAGCUUAACUUAGGAAUUGCAUUCGAUACUGGGAAGCUAGAGUAUGGGAGAGGAUGGUAGAAUUCCAGGUGUAGCGGUGAAAUGCGUAGAGAUCUGGAGGAAUACCGAUGGCGAAGGCAGCCAUCUGGCCUAAUACUGACGCUGAGGUACGAAAGCAUGGGGAGCAAACAGGAUUAGAUACCCGAGUAGUCCCUGUCUCUUAUAC